GCGUAAAGCGUGCGCAGGCGGUUAUGUAAGACAGAUGUGAAAUCCCCGGGCUCAACCUGGGAACUGCAUUUGUGACUGCAUGGCUAGAGUACGGUAGAGGGGGAUGGAAUUCCGCGUGUAGCAGUGAAAUGCGUAGAUAUGCGGAGGAACACCGAUGGCGAAGGCAAUCCCCUGGACCUGUACUGACGCUCAUGCACGAAAGCGUGGGGAGCAAACAGGAUUAGAUACGU
rnacentral:rRNA from 1 species